rnacentral:rRNA from 1 species
GACGAACGCUGGCGGCGUGCUUAACACAUGCAAGUGGUGCGACGAACCAGGCUUCGGCCUGGGGCAGAGCCGCGAACGGGUGAGUAACACGUGGGCAACCUGCCCUGUUGAUCGGGACAACCCGGGGAAACCCGGGCUAAUACCGAAUGUGGUGCCGGCUCAUGAGAGCCGUCACGAAAGGAAGCGUCGGCCUCCGCGACAGGAUUGGCCCGCGGCCCAUUAGCUUGUUGGAUGGGUAAUGGCCUACCAAGGCAACGAUGGGUAGCUGGUCUGAGAGGACGAUCAGCCACACUGGGACUGAGACACGGCCCAGACUCCUACGGGAGGCUGCAGUGGGGAAUCUUGCGCAAUGAGCGACAGCUUGACGCAGCAACGCCGCGUGGGGGAAGAAGGCUUUCGGGUCGUAAACCCCUUUCAGUUAGGACGAAGCUUUAUUGGUUAGUAACCAAUUGGAGUGACGGUACUUUCAGAAGAAGCCCCGGCUAACUACGUGCCAGCCGCCGCGGUAA